rnacentral:rRNA from 1 species
ACGCACGCUGGCGGCGUGCUUCACACCUGCAAGUCGCACAGUGAAGCGCCUUCCUUUUUGGUGGGUGUGGAUGAGUGGCGAACGGGUGAGUAACACGUGAGUAACCUGCCCCCUUCUUCUGGAUAACCGCAUGAAAGUGUGGCUAAUACGGGAUAUUCUGGGUCUGUCGCAUGAUGGGUCUGGGAAAGAUAUUGUUUCGGUGGGGGAUGGGCUCGCGGCCUAUCAGCUUGUUGGUGGGGUGAUGGCCUACCAAGGCGGUGACGGGUAGCCGGCCUGAGAGGGUGGACGGUCACACUGGGACUGAGACACGGCCCAGACUCCUACGGGAGGCAGCAGUGGGGAAUAUUGCACAAUGGGCGCAAGCCUGAUGCAGCGACGCCGCGUGAGGGAUGGAGGCCUUCGGGUUGUGAACCUCUUUCGCCAGUGAAGCAGGCCUGCCUCGUUUGUGGGUGGGUUGACGGUAGCUGGAUAAGAAGCGCCGGCUAACUACGUG